UCUCCGUUGGUGAACCAGCGGAGGGAUCAUUACAGAGUUGUAAAACUCCCAAACCCAUGUGAACAUACCUGUUGCCUCGGUGGCCUACCCGGUAGCUACCCUGUAGCUACCCUGUAGUCCGCCGACGGAACUUAAAACUCUUGAUUGUUAUAGUGGCAUUCUCUGAGUAAAACAUACAAAUAAGUCAAAACUUUCAACAACGGAUCUCUUGGCUCUG
rnacentral:misc_RNA from 1 species